CUUAAAUAUGUUGUACUGUGUUUCUCUCUCCCGCAGGUCUACUUACAAAAACCAUGCUGUUAGCCACAGAAGCAGUCAGUAUGUGUCCACACUUUUGGAACAACAUAAAAUGUUUAUUUUGAAAUGUUUAAGCCAACUGUAUUAUGUCGUAUGGUAUAUAUAAAGACACUGAGUUCUUAUAUAUAACAUGUAUAAAAAUCCAGCUUGUCUUUGAGAAAUAUUUUUAAUUGAUGUGUCUGAAAAACUACAAAUAAAAUAAAGCAAUUCAAACAAUCAAGGGGACAUAUAUUGAAUCUACUACAUGAAGCAUAGUUGUAAAUCAAGUUGUUUAAUUAACAAGUCGCAACCUGACUUUGACCUUAGAUUUGGUUUUUUGAGCAGAAAUUCCUUCCUCAUGUGUAUGACUCGUGAUUAUUUCCCAUCACCACAAACCAGUCGAGGCAGUCUGACAUCACUCCCAGAGGUUACUUCUGCUGAAGAUUUCUUCCUGUUAGGCAACUGUUGGUAUACAGCAACACUAGCUGAAUGAUUUGAUUUGCAAAUCAACUGCUAUUUAGCAAAAUAACAAUAGUUAUUUGUUAUGAAGACCUGUAGAGUCAAAGAUUGUGAUCUGGGAUUUUUCUGCACAUGUCAAAUGACCUACGUCACCUGGCAACUAAACUGUUUGUCAAUAACUUGUCCAAAAUGUAUGAGGCUCUAAUUAAGAACUAUGUAUAAAAAGUUCUAUAAUUAAAGUCAAAUGUUUCUUAAACUCAAUGAAUUAAAGGUGAAAGUCUGCACUUCAGUCACAUUUUGAGUGUUUGAUUUAAAAUGAUAUGGAUGGACAAAACCAGAUGAAUUGUGCCUCUGUCCAACAAAUUACGUGUAUGGGACAUUACUCUGACAUAGAGUUUGCUUCAUCUGUGUAGCGAAUAUGUUCUUAGUCUUCUUCUUUCUCAGGUUUCUGAUGCCUGAGGUGUUUACUAAGCACACAGUCAGUGUACAUCUCAUGGAUCUUUGUUGUUUCAUCCUGGACAGUGUAUCUGACACUCACCAAUCCUCAGCCACCUUCCUUCUGCUUAGGAGCUUCCUUGUCCUCACAUCUGUGGCUUCUAUCUCCUCCUUUGGCCAGGUGAUUACUGUAGAGGGUAUCUCACAACUGGCAGGGCAUAGGUUUUGAUUGCCCAGAUCUUGUCCUAUCCAUUCAGUUGACUGACUAAUAAUAGCAACUUUGUUGUGGUUUCCGUUCACUGUGGGAUUUCCAGGUACUUCUAGCUAUUCUCAGUGUCUGGAUUUUUGCCUCCUGGCAGUGGAUCUCCUCAAUUCUGAUUACUUUCCAUCUCACUACAACCUCACAUUAACGCCCAACUGUACUCAUUUUCUUGUUUAUAGCUGUUUUUGUUUUUAAUUCUCCCUCUUUUUAUGUGUUUGUAUCCUACAUAAUUGAUAUAACAUGAGUACAUUCAUUAGAAUCAAAAUAUGCAACUGCAGCAGCACAAUUCUCUUUUAUUACAUAAAUAAAAUCCUCAAAAGAUAUACUUUUUGCUUUCUUAUUUUGAGUAAAUUUCAGAAUCUGUACUUUAAAAUUUUUAACUGAGUAAAGAAGUUGAAUUAGUACUUCAGCUUUUACCAGUAUUUUAUAACAGAAGUAUCCGUACUUCUGCCAGUUGUGGCAGGGCAUGGUCCAUUAUGUGGCUGCGGGGGAGGCUGACAUACCUGAGCUCGAUCAGCUCAUCACGCCUCCCCUAUAUUAAACAUGUCGGGACCUGAGGCUGUUGUUGUGUGUAGGACGCAGCUGAAAAGCUGCAGACGUGAGUUGAAGAGACGACAACUGAAUAAAGAAGCGUGCUGGAAAGUGCAAAUAUGUGGUCGGGUCCGUCAUUCCUCUCACAACAGUAUAUCAAACCAUGAUUGCAAAUCCUAUCAGGAUUGAUCUCUGACUUGUGCUAACUUUUGUUACAAAAAGGAAUGGAUGAAGGUGCAUUACUCAGCCUUUUUGCAAGCUACUGCUUCAUUACAGGGCAAAUUUUCUGAUAAAACAAAUGCAUUAUAUUUCUCAUGGGGGCUGUACAGGAAAAGCCAGGGAUGGAUCACCAGUCAACUUUUUUCUUUGGGGAACACAGAAGUAUGCAAAAAAUAGAAAUCCCACAGGUGCUGAGCAUAGUGGACUGAUCAACAGACCAAAGUUUUAAUGCUAAAAAACACUUCUUGGUUAUUAAGCCAUACACUACCAACACAGUGAAAUAAACACAAUUACUUUUAUUAAAUAUCAAUGUGAAACAAUUUGUUUAUUUAUUUAUUUAUGUUUCAUGUAUUUGCAGUCUUUAUGAUGUUAUUUCAUUAAACACUAAUGGAACAAAAAGAGAGCCUGUUGACACCAUAAACAAAAUGACAUUUAGUUACGUAACUUGGU